UACGAAGGGGGGCUAGCGUUGUUCGGAAUUACUGGGCGUAAAGCGCACGUAGGCGGCUUUGCAAGUUAGAGGUGAAAGCCCGGGGCUCAACUCCGGAAUUGCCUUUAAAACUGCAUCGCUAGAAUUGUGGAGAGGUAAGUGGAAUUCCGAGUGUAGAGGUGAAAUUCGUAGAUAUUCGGGAAAACAACCACGAGUGCGAAGGCGACUUACUGGACACAUAUUGACGCUGAGGUGCGAAAGCGUGGGGAGCAAACAGG
rnacentral:rRNA from 1 species